rnacentral:rRNA from 1 species
CUCUUCGGAGUGACGUUAGSGGAUGAGCGGCGGAUGGGUGAGUAACACGUGGGCAACCUGCCUAUAAGACUGGGAUAACUUACGGAAACGUGAGCUAAUACCGGAUGAAACCUYUUAUCACCUGGUAAGAGGAUGAAAGAUGGCUUUUAGCUAUCACUUAUAGAUGGGCCCGCGGCGCAUUAGCUAGUUGGUGAGAUAAAAGCUCACCAAGGCAACGAUGCGUAGCCRACCUGAGAGGGUGAUCGGCCACACUGGGACUGAGACACGGCCCAGACUCCUACGGGAGGCAGCAGUAGGGAAUCUUCCGCAAUGGACGAAAGUCUGACGGAGCAACGCCGCGUGAACGAAGAAGGUUCUCGGAUCGUAAAGUUCUGUUGUUAGGGAAGAACACGUACCAUUCGAAUAGGGUGGUACCUUGACGGUACCUAACGAGAAAGCCCCGGCUAACUACGUGCCAGCAGCCGCGGUAAUACGUAGGGGGCAAGCGUUGUCCGGAAUUAUKGGGCGUAAAGCGCUCGCAGGCGGUUUUUUAAGUCUGAUGUGAAAUCUUGCGGCUCAACCGCAAGCGGUCAUUGGAAACUGGAGAACUUGAGGACAGAAGAGGAGAGUGGAAUUCCACGUGUAGCGGUGAAAUGCGUAGAGAUGUGGAGGAACACCAGUGGCGAAGGCGACUCUCUGGUCUGUAACUGACGCUGAGGAGCGAAAGCGUGGUAGCGAACAGGAUUAGAUACCCUGGUAGUCCACGCCGUAACGAUGAGUGCUAGGGU